GUGUCGUGAGAUGUUGGGUUAAGUCCCGCAACGAGCGCAACCCUCGACCUUAGUUGCCAGCAUUCAGUUGGGCACUCUAAGGUGACUGCCGGCUAAAAGUCGGAGGAAGGUGGGGAUGACGUCAAAUCAUCAUGCCCCUUAUGACCUGGGCUACACACGUGCUACAAUGGGCGGUACAAAGGGUCGCGAACCCGCGAGGGGGAGCCAAUCCCAAAAAAGCCGCUCUCAGUUCGGAUUGCAGGCUGCAACUCGCCUGCAUGAAGCCGGAAUCGCUAGUAAUCGCGGAUCAGCAUGCCGCGGUGAAUACGUUCCCGGGCCUU
rnacentral:rRNA from 1 species